UAGAUCUCGUGCAUUAACAGCUAUUUUAAUAUUUGUAUCAUUUUAUUUGUUGCAGUUUCUUACUGUCUCACUGUUACAUGUUCCAACACAUGUACUAACAGAUGAAGGUUCAGUGCUGAUGGAAAAAACAUGAAGGUUCUUUCUUGAACAGUGACUGGCUUUAGUUUACUCAAUAAUAAGUGCCCGAGUCACUGCCAUUGCCCAUGAAAAGGCCAGAAGACCAGGUGAUAUGAACCUCUGACCCACAUGAGUUCCUGAUCUAUAGCAGCUUUAAAGGCGAGCCCUUAUGAUACAUGUCAUUAUCAAAGUGACAUCUGCCUUUAAAAGCAGGUGGAGAAUAAAUUGUGUUUUAAAAAGCUUCAAAACAUGUAUUUAGUACUAUUUAAACAUUUGUGUGUGUCAAGACUUAUUGGAAUAGUUAACAUAGUUGACAGAAAUAAUAGUAACCAUUCUUAUUGCUUCUAAUGGGAACAUCCUUAUAGUGUAAGCAAGCACAAUGGGGUCCUUUGGUUUUGCAGAAGAGACAGCAAGCAGAGUAGACAGUAUUGAGAUAAAAAGGAUUCCGGGUGCGAUACCCUAACUCUUUGCGAAUAGAUCCCUUUGUUCUUUUACGUGCUCAGUGUAUAGCACCAAUACACGCGAGAAUUACCAGUACAUGUCUGAUGUGAGAAACACUUGAAGAAUUUCUGAUAUUUCCAGUGCCUCGGCCAGGAAUUGAACCGGGGACCUCUGGAAUGGUAGAUCAGUGUGUUACCACUAGACCACCGCACCACCUGUACGCAGAAUAUCUUAAAAAAAGAUAUUUCUUGUUUAAUAUAACCUUAACAUUUGUUAACAGUAAAAUGAUAUUCUUCUAUAAUCGCUUGUAACAGCUGAGUAGCUGAUUAAACUCCAAAGAUCACGCUUCCUCCCCUCACCCAUACAUUUCUUAUAGCUUUCCUCUGACGGAUUUCCCAAUGUUUCAUGCAACUGUGUAAUUACACAUUUUAUAUAUGCACACCUGUUGUCACGAUACAUGUAUGUUCAUUGUAUUAUGUGACCUGCGAAACAUAAUAAAAAUUUGCUCUGUUC